CAGUGAGAUAACCCUGAAAAUUAUCAUGAAGAUGGAUAAAGCAUUAAAUUAAAACCUUGUAACAGCCAGCACUUCAAGGAGGCAGAAUGACUGCAACCCUCAUGUGCCCGAGGUGGGAAUGCAAAGUGGCCCAACUGCUCUGAAGAACAAACUUCAUAGCCUUAUAAACACACAUAUGAUUUAUGACUCAGUGUAUGGGAUAUUUAAGUUCACAUAAAUCUGCACACAAAAAUAUACAGCAAUUUUACCUCUAGUUGCACCAAACAAGUUAUAACCAAGAUGGCAACAGUGAAAUGAAUAAAGAAAUCGUGGUGUGUCUAUCUGUCCCACCUAUGCAGUGGAAUAAUGUCCAGCAAUCAACUAGAAUAUUGGAGGAUCCUGGGACAGAUAAUAGACUAUGGGGUACUGUAUAUCAAGGAUUAUACAAACCAGUAUCUAUACUAGAAAAUGGGAGCUGAGGACAAAGUAAGGAUAAUCAGAAACAGUAUAAACUCGAGGAAAAUGGGAGGUCUGGAAUGGCGAAUGUAGCCUCAGGCGUGGCAACUGCCCCAGCUGGGACUACCCACUGCCAAGUUUCACCCUCUCUCAAGAGAACCAAAACCAGACUGUACGCAGCAUCUUCCUUCUCAGCCAAAGGGCCUACUCGUUAGGGUGAUUUGCAUUGUACUUAAGCAUUGAAAAAAAAAAAAGACUGGAAGGAAAUAGAUCAAAAUGUGGUAUGUUUGCCUGUGGAUUAAAGGACUUCAAAUGAUUUUCAUUUCCUUCCUUAUAGUAUAUGUAUUUUCUAUUUGAAUGAAUGAUACGACUUAACAGGCAUAUGAGGAAAAAUGGUACACUGAGGCUAUGUAUAAGAAGAUAAUAGGCAACCUAAACAGAAAGCACCAUGCUUGGAUGGAUUUACUGAUAAAUUCUGACAAAUCUCAACUAUUUAAUGGAAGAAUGUAUACUAAAGGUUCUACAGUGUCUUUUAGAAGGUAGGAAAUA
rnacentral:lncRNA from 1 species